rnacentral:rRNA from 1 species
UACGUAGGGGGCUAGCGUUGUCCGGAUUUAUUGGGCGUAAAGAGCGUGUAGGCGGCCAGGUAGGUCUGGUGUGAAAACUCGAGGCUUAACCUCGAGAUGUCAUCGGAAACCAUUUGGCUAGAGUCCGGAAGAGGAGAGUGGAAUUCCUGGUGUAGCGGUGAAAUGCGCAGAUAUCAGGAAGAACACCUAUGGCGAAGGCAGCUCUCUGGGACGGUACUGACGCUGAGACGCGAAAGCGUGGGGAGCGAACAGG